UACGGAGGGUGCGAGCGUUACUCGGAAUUACUGGGCGUAAAGGGCGCGUAGGCGGCCGCGCAAGUCUGGUGUGAAAGCCCAGGGCUUAACCCUGGAAGGGCACUGGAAACUGUGCGGCUUGAGUGCCGGAGAGGAGGGGGGAAUUCCCGGUGUAGCGGUGAAAUGCGUAGAUAUCGGGAGGAAUACCGGUGGCGAAGGCGCCCCUCUGGACUGUCACUGACACUGAGGCUCGAAAGCGUGGGUAGCAAACAGG
rnacentral:rRNA from 1 species